rnacentral:rRNA from 1 species
CCUACGGGAGGCAGCAGUGAGGAAUAUUGGUCAAUGGUCGGGAGACUGAACCAGCCAAGCCGCGUGAGGGAUGAAGGUACAGAGUAUCGUAAACCUCUUUUGUCAGGGAACAAAGGCGGGGACGCGUCCCCGGAUGAGUGUACCUGAAGAAAAAGCAUCGGCUAACUCCGUGCCAGCAGCCGAGGUAAUACGGAGGAUGCGAGCGUUAUCCGGUUUGAUUUGGUUUAAAGGGUGCGUAGGCGGUCUGUGAAGUCAGCGGUCAAAAUCCGGGGCUCAACCCCCGGACGGCUGUUGACAUUGGUAGUCGAGAGAUGGAGAGAGGUAGGCGGAAUGCGCGGUGUAGCGGUGAAAUGCAUAGAUAUCGCGAAGAACUCCGAUUGCGAAGGCAGCAUGCCGGCUCCACACUGACGCUGAGGCACGAAAGCGUGGGUAGCGAACAGGAUUAGAUACCCGUGUAGUC